GAUGAACGCUAGCGGCAGGCUUAACACAUGCAAGUCGAGGGGUAUGGUUCUUCGGAGCCAGAGACCGGCGCACGGGUGCGUAACGCGUAUGCAAUCUACCUUUUACAGAGGGAUAGCCCAGAGAAAUUUGGAUUAAUACCUCAUAGUAUUACGACUCGGCAUCGAGAUGUAAUUAAAGUUCCAACGGUAAAAGAUGAGCAUGCGUCCCAUUAGCUAGAUGGUAAGGUAACGGCUUACCAUGGCUACGAUGGGUAGGGGUCCUGAGAGGGAGAUCCCCCACACUGGUACUGAGACACGGACCAGACUCCUACGGGAGGCAGCAGUGAGGAAUAUUGGACAAUGGGCGCAAGCCUGAUCCAGCCAUGCCGCGUGCAGGAUGACGGUCCUAUGGAUUGUAAACUGCUUUUGUACGAGAAGAAACAACUCUACGUGUAGAGUCUGACGGU
rnacentral:rRNA from 1 species